rnacentral:rRNA from 1 species
CGCGUAGGCGGAUUAAUAAGUUGGGGGUGAAAUCCCAGGGCUCAACCCUGGAACUGCCUCCAAAACUGUUAGUCUUGAGUUCGAGAGAGGUGAGUGGAAUUCCGAGUGUAGAGGUGAAAUUCGUAGAUAUUCGGAGGAACACCAGUGGCGAAGGCGGCUCACUGGCUCGAUACUGACGCUGAGGUGCGAAAGCGUGGGGAGCAAACA